rnacentral:rRNA from 1 species
UUGAGAGGCAUCUCUUAAAUAUCAAAGGUGAGCCAGUACAGGAUGGACCCGCGUCUGAUUAGCUAGUUGGUAAGGUAACGGCUUACCAAGGCGACGAUCAGUAGCCGACCUGAGAGGGUGAUCUGCCACAUUGGAACUGAGACACGGUCCAAACUUCUACGGGAGGCAGCAGUGGGGAAUCUUGUACAAUGGGCGAAAGCCUGAUG